UGGGGGAUAUUGCACAAUGGGGGAAACCCGUGAUGCAGCAACGCCGCGUGAGGGAAGAAGGUUUUCGGAUUGUAAACCUCUGUCCUCAGGGAAGAUAAUGACGGUACCUGAGGAGGAAGCUCCGGCUAACUACGUGCC
rnacentral:rRNA from 1 species